rnacentral:rRNA from 1 species
UGCAAGCGUUGUCCGGAAUUAUUGGGCGUAAAGAGCUCGUAGGCGGUUUGUCGCGUCUGCUGUGAAAACUGGAGGCUCAACCUCCAGCCUGCAGUGGGUACGGGCAGACUAGAGUGCGGUAGGGGAGAUUGGAAUUCCUGGUGUAGCGGUGGAAUGCGCAGAUAUCAGGAGGAACACCGAUGGCGAAGGCAGAUCUCUGGGCCGUAACUGACGCUGAGGAGCGAAAGCGUGGGGAGCGAACAGGAUUAGAUACCCUGGUAGUCCACGCCGUAAACGUUGGGAACUAGAUGUGGNGGCCAUUCCACGGUCUCCGUGUCGCAGCUAACGCAUUAAGUUCCCCGCCUGGGGAGUACGGCCGCAAGGCUAAAACUCAAAGGAAUUGACGGGGGCCCGCACAAGCGGCGGAGCAUGCGGAUUAAUUCGAUGCAACGCGAAGAACCUUACCAAGGCUUGACAUAUACGAGAACGGGCCAGAAAUGGUCAACUCUUUGGACACUCGUAAACAGGUGGUGCAUGGUUGUCGUCAGCUCGUGUCGUGAGAUGUUGGGUUAAGUCCCGCAACGAGCGCAACCCUCGUUCUAUGUUGCCAGCACGUCAUGGUGGGAACUCAUAGGAGACUGCCGGGGUCAACUCGGAGGAAGGUGGGGAUGACGUCAAAUCAUCAUGCCCCUUAUGUCUUGGGCUUCACGCAUGCUACAAUGGCCGGUACAAAGGGCUGCAAUACCGUAAGGUGGAGCGAAUCCCAAAAAGCCGGUCUCAGUUCGGAUUGAGGUCUGCAACUCGACCUCAUGAAGUCGGAGUCGCUAGUAAUCGUGAAUCAGCAACGUCACGGUGAAUACGUUCCCGGGCCUUGUACACACCGCCCGUCAAGUCAUGAAAGUCGGUAACACCCAACGCCAGUGGCCUAACCCCUUGUGGGAGGGAGCUGUCUAAGGUGGGAUCGGUGAUUAGGACUAAGUCGUAACAAGGUAACC